rnacentral:lncRNA from 1 species
AACUGGUUGGCUGCUAGUUAAGAAGGAGAUGGGAGAGUGGGGAGGGAGGCUAGGUUAGGAGGAUAUGAACAGACAUAAGAAAGAGGGAUGGCAGAGCUAGAUUUUGCUUAUUUUGCAAUCUUGCCUGGCUUAGUGCAACAGCUCACUUGAGAUAAGCAAUGAGGGUCUAGCAUGGUGCAAUGCUAUUCAGGAUGCAAAAGUAGCAGAGGACCUCUGAGGAGGUUACAUGCGGCUUGGGAGAUGAGUGAUAAAUACAUGAAACAGCUGGGGAAAAAUACUAGACUGGAUAAAAUCAAGUGUGAGAGGAUUUGGUUCAGAUUUCAAGCACUACAGGAAUUCAGAAGCAAGGAAGAUCACACAAGGAGAGAAAUCAAAGAACAGUCACUGUGAAAGGGAUUGCAAGAAGCCGCUCUUCCUGUCUCAGGUGUCAGCAGUCAACUCUGUGGCUAUCAUCACCCUGGGAAAGACUGAAAUCAAGAUUCUGUGAUAUUCCACACCUGUCCCAGACAAUUCCAGCACAUCCCACCCUGAGAACAGCCAGAGGAGGAGAUCAGCCACGGAUUCUUGUCUGUGGGAGUGUCCCAAACCUGACUUAACAUCACAGCGAGGCAGGAGAUGAGGGGCUGAAUGAUAAUCUGUGUGGACCUGCCAUUUCCACAAGAAGAGGCUGUCCGUUUAUGGAGCAAGUGAGCGAAUAUUAACCCAUGAAUCGCUGAGAGACCAAUACCAGACAUGAUGUCUGAGUAAGGUCACUAGCCUCCACACUCGGGACCAGGGCCAUCAGAGUGCCCUACAUUCAGCGGGAGACACAUCAGAGCUGCUGGGCCCUGAAGAAUGAACUCUCUGGAGAGAGGUUGGGUGUUGACACCUCGGUGUGAAUUCUUCCCUCAUCUCUCAUCUGAGCGUCCCCUGUGUGAUGGCCAGUUCUCCUCAUGGGCAGCUGCCCACACGCUCCCUCUGAAGUGAAGUCUGAUGGUUGACAAGCCCUACACAUGCAGAUGGAGCUUUUAUUGCCUCUCUCUUAAAUAUGAAACAAAGAUUUAGUUAACAAAUAUUUAUUAAAUGCCCACUAGAUGCCAGAGAGAGGUCUUGGCACGUAAUAGUCAACAAAAGAGACCCCAAUCCCUGCCUGCCUUGGAGCUUACAUUCUAGUGAUGGAAGACGGAAAAAAUUUAAGUGAGUUAUUCAGUAUUUUAGAGACUGAUAUGUGCUAUGGACAAAAGUAAGGCAGGAAAGGAAGAGAGAUUGAGUGCUGGGGCAGGUAUGCAGCUUCAUUGUGUGGUCACAGAAGGCCUCACUUGGAUGGUAACAUUUGUGCAAAGUCACUGGAGAAUCACAAAAUUCCUAUAAAAAAGAGUCAACUGGAUGCCAAGAAGGGGAAAGAACAUAGACUCAAAUAAACUAUGACAGCAAAAGAAGUAUCAUGAGCGUGAGAAGUGAAAGAGGUACAAGGGAGAG